UCCUACGGGUGGCUGCAGUGGGGAAUAUUGGACAAUGGGCGCAAGCCUGAUCCAGCCAUGCCGCGUGGAUGAUGAAGGCCCUAGGGUUGUAAAGUCCUUUCGGCGGGGAAGAUAAUGACGGUACCCGCAGAAGAAGCCCCGGCUAACUUCGUGCCAGCAGCCGCGGUAAUACGAAGGGGGCUAGCGUUGCUCGGAAUCACUGGGCGUAAAGCGCACGUAGGCGGCUUGUUAAGUCAGGGGUGAAAUCCUGGAGCUCCACUCCAGAACUGCCUUUGAUACUGGCGAGCUUGAGUUCGGGAGAGGUGAGUGGAACUGCGAGUGUAGAGGUGAAAUUCGUAGAUAUUCGCAAGAACACCAGUGGCGAAGGCGGCUCACUGGCCCGAUACUGACGCUGAGGUGCGAAAGCGUGGGGAGCAAACAGGAUUAGAUACCCUAGUAGUC
rnacentral:rRNA from 1 species